GGACUGAGCAGAGGGUGCAGGAUCCUUCCAGGACCCGUGUGGCAGUGCUGGAAGAAGAGGCGCGGGGAGAAGGCGGCGUCUCCAGACGAAUCCGCUCCUCCCGUUGAGAAACUUCGAUGUGGCCACCCGCUUUCUUGGCGCUGGGCGGCGGGCCCUGCAGCCCUGUGGAAUUCCGGCCAGAUUCCCAGGGAGCAGAGACCCAGUCGGCCCCUUCACCCUCCCGAGGCCCUGCGGGGCGGGGGGGGGGCAGCACUCUCCAACCCCCAGCCUAUGUGGGACACACCCUGCUCUGGUCUUGAUUGCUGGGAACACCUGAGGAAUGCUGUUCUUAUCAUCUUCCCUUUAGUUCAGAUGUGACCGUCACAGUGAGGUCUCCCCUGACCAUCCUACGCAAUGAAGGGCAAGGACAUUAUCUUGCUUACUGUUACAUCCCCAGAAUCUGGCACGUUCAUGGCACAUAUCAGACACAUAAUAAAUACUAUUGAAAUGAUGAAAAAAAGAUUAUUUUUGAAAGUAAUUUUUCAUUCAAAGCUUCAGUGAUGGGAAGGUUUUAAUGGUGGAAACGAGGAAGAUAAGAAAAUGGUGAUGCUUAGCAAAUUUAUGGAAAAUGGAAAAAAAAACCUGAGAGAUCACAGAAGUAAAAAUUGUUGCACCCAGUCCAACAAUGAACCAUCAGGCAAAGAAAUAAUCAGAUUUCCCAAAUAUCAAAACCUUUGCCAUUGGUCUGCAAGCAUACAGAAGAGAUAACACUCAGCUUUCUAAAGUCUAGUGCUGUUGAGCUCAUUAGAAAUUGAAUUUUGAAUUUAUGAUAAGAAUUAAUGCAAUUCAAAUGCAUGUCAUGUGAAGUAUGACACAGCUCUUAAUUUUUAAUAUUAUUCUGCCUUUUAGAUGUCUCUCCUGGAGGAACAGACAGGCAUUUAAGACAUGGCAUUAUUUAUGAAUAUUUAACUACAUGGCUAGUUACAGAAGAAGGAAAGACACCGAUGAUUUUUGCAUGUUGUAUUAGACAUAAUAAAGAACCCCAAAGAUGUCCACAUUCUAAUCACUAGAACCAGGGAACAUGUUAACCAGCAUGGCAAAGGGGACUUUGCCAUUGUGAUUAAGUAAAGAAUCUUGAGCUGUGGAGAUGAUUCUGAAUUAUCUGAGUGGAUCAAAUGUAAUCACAAAUGUCAUUAUAAGAAGGAGGCAGAAGGAUCAAAGCCAGUGAAGAUGCCAACACAGAAGCAGAGGUAAGAGAGAUGCAAGUGAUGGCUUUAAAGAUGGAAGGGGGACAUGAGUCAAGAAGUAGGGGCGGCCUCCAGAAGCUGGAAGAAGUAAGAAUGGAACGUCCCCUAUGGCCUCCAGAAGGGCACAGUUCUUCUGAUACUUUGAUUUUAGUCUGGUGAGCUGCAUUUUGCACUUCUGACACUCAGAACUGUACAAUCAUGAAUCUGCAUUGUUUUAAGCCACAAAGUUUAUAAUUAUUUGUUACAGCAGCAAGAGGAAACUAACACACUUGUGAGUAGUCAUUUCCCCUGAUAUCAUUUGGCUCUCUGUUCCCCUACCCCCAGAUCUCAUGUUGAAUUAUAAUCCCCAACGUUGGAGGAAGGAACUGGUGGGAGGUAAUUGGAUCAUGGAGGUAGACUUCCUCCUUGCUGUUCUCAUGAUAGUGAGUGAGUUCUCAUGAGAUCUGGUUGUUUAAAAGUGUGCAGCACUUCCCCCUUCUCUCUCUCUUCCUCCUGCUCCCGACAUGCAGGACGUGCCUGGUUCCCCUUCACCUUUGGCUAUGAUUAUAAGUUGCCUGAGGCCUCCCCAGUCAUGCUUCCUUUACAGCCUACAGAACCAUGAGCCA
ensembl:lncRNA novel transcript